rnacentral:lncRNA from 1 species
UGGUUCAGUUUUUUUCCCUGUGUAUUUCUCUGUCAUGUAAAGUGAUCUUGCUCUGGUUUAACACAACCACCUUUUCUGUUUAAACCCUAGGCAAUGGAAGGAGAAGAGCACCACCGUAAGAAAGGACAUGUUUUGUCAUGGAGAAGGCCAAAGAGACGCUGCCACUGCAGAUCUGACCAUGAUGGAGGUGUUGGCACUUUUCCACCAUGGGAUCCUGGAACAUCUGCACGAAGGAUAGUACAUUCGAUUUGGCUUCAAGAUCUUCUCCUGAGCGAUGAAAACAAGCUCAGUUACAGGCAGUGACGGGCCUCGGCCUCUAGUAGGCGCUGCACAGAUCACAGCUCCAACCCUGAGAGGAGUCACGCCGCUGCAAGUUGUGACAGUCUACAAUGACAUCCUGUUAUAGUCAAGAGGCAAAUGUGGAAUAUUGAAUUUAAUAAUUAUGGAAUACUGCAUAAUUACAUCCACAAGCUUUUGGUGUCACAGAAAGCUCAGCUUUUGACAGUGGAGGAAUUUGUCUGAGUGUAAAGUUGGAUGUGCGGCUUUGCAGCUGCUGAACUGAACAUUUUCAGCAAUUGAUCAAACUUUUGUUCUAAUCCCAGUGAUGGCUGGUGCAGCUUGUGUGCUGCUUUCAGCCUUUGUUGUGCUUUUUCUUGCUGACCUGUUGCCGUUUCCCACAGUGCCUAUUUUUUUAGUGCAACCAGCUGGCAUUUAUGUAGAAACAAGUCCUCAUUAGC